rnacentral:lncRNA from 1 species
GUUGUACGCAAAAUAUAAUACUGAAACAUUUUAUGUUCAAGCUAAGAUGAAAAAAAGGAAUGAGAAACCUUUCUUUUUUCCUAUUCUGAAACUACGAUGUUUGUACAAAGUUCAGUUUUGUCGUAAUUUCAAGGCAGAUGGUGGAUUCGGGGAUGGGGACGAACAUGUCGUUCACCCAAGGAUUGGACAAAUUAUCGUGUUUUGCCUUAAAAUCGUCAAUAUUGUUUUUAGUCUCGCUACGCUCGGUGAUAUAUAUUUUUUUAUUUGAUAGAAUAACGCCCCUUUUAAAAUCUAGGAACCGCCCCUAAAGGUAAAAAUAGAUUUGAACUGUGCAGUAUAUCUGAGGUAGUUAAUGCACACCUUUGCUGUGCAUUAUCCAGAUUAUAGCACAGUAAGAACAAAGAGAUUUUACCCAUACCAUGUGUUAA